ACGUGGAAAGCCUGAAUCCGGAGCCGCACCGUCACGCUUCUAAUCCAACGGUGAAGAUCUCUUCUCUCGCUUACUAUAACCCUUCACCAUUUACCUACAUAAACCCCACUUCCCAAUAUAGGGUUUUAGUCGAAUCCUUCAAAAACCAGAGGGAGUGAAGCACAUAAGAAGGUUGUGCGAUGGCGUUUCUUACUAAAUUGGGAAAUAUGUUACGGCAGACUGCUAAUAGGCAGAUCACUUCUGAGAUCUCUGCAUCAAGACCAUCCAUCUAUCAAGCAUUAAGAUGCAUGUCAUCCUCAAAAAUUUUCAUUGGAGGUAUUUCUUUCCAGACAGAUGACAUCGGUCUGAAAGAGGCCUUUGAUAAAUAUGGCAAUGUUGUUGAAGCAAGAAUCAUUAUGGAUCGUGAUACUGGCAGAUCCAGAGGAUUUGGAUUCGUUACUUACACCUCCAGUGAGGAGGCCUCUAGUGCCAUCCAGGCCAUGGAUGGACAGGAUCUUCAUGGUCGCCGCGUUAGGGUGAAUUAUGCAACUGAAAGGCCUCAGCGUACCUUUAACAAUAAUUAUGGCAACUAUGGCGGUGGAGGAUACGGCGGCGGUGGAGGAUACGGUGGCGGUGGAGGAUACGGCACUGGUGGAGGAUAUGGCUCUAAUUAUGCUGGUCAAAACACUUAUGAUGGUGGUGCUGGGAAUUAUGGUGCUGCUGCUGGCGGUGGCAGAAGCGAUGGCUAUACCAACACCAGUGUUGAUGGUGGAUAUGAUGGAAAUGCUGGAUUGGGUUAUGGUGGCGGCAAUCAGUUUGGUGCCAAUGAGAGUAGUGGUGAUGGUUUGAACCUAGAUGAUGCGUUGGACAAAAACUCCAAGGAAGAUGAUGAUGCUGGUGGUUUUGCCAAAAGGGUAUGACAUAAUGCUGUUUCUGGAGGAAGCUGUUGAAGUUGCUUAUUAAACAGGCUGUUUUCUUUUAUCCGCAUGCUUUCCCAAUGCGUAACUCAAAGCCACCCUACUUUUAUAUCGAUGCCCAUUGUCUCUAGCUUUUGUUUUUUACACUGUUAGAUCCCGCUGCUCUUCAACUUCAAAUGCAUUUCAGGGGGAGCUGGACUUCUGAUUGCUAUCUGCAAUUUCAAGGAGAAACUUCCUGCCAAUCGCAGCCGAUGUAUCUUCUUGAACUUUCCGGCACCCUUCGACACUCGCCUCUUUUGUUAGCGUAGAGCUUUUAGGUCUAGAUUGGCUUGGUAUUUGUUAUGUGUCUUCACUGCUGCUGCUGCAGCUGAAUCACUGUCACUGUUGCUGUUUCGCAUUGCAUUUACUUGCGUCUCUUGAUAAAUAUUAAAAUAAAUUGCCUUUACUUUUCACUCCAA